rnacentral:lncRNA from 10 species
GCCAGAUAAGGGAAUAAAAGCAGGCUGCCUGAGUGAGUAGUGACAUCCCGCUCUGGUCAUUUUCCAUAGAGUGGAAAGUUUGUUAUUUCCGUUUUUGCAAUAAAUUUUAUUGCUAUUUGUUCUUUGGGUCCACACUACUUUUAUGAGGUGUAACACUCACCGCAGGGGUAUGCAGUUUCACUCCUGACGCUAGCGAGAGCACGAACCCCCCGGGAGGAACAAACAACUCCAGAGGCGCCGCAUUUAAGAACUGUAACACUCCCCGUGAGGGUCUGCGGCCUCAUUCUUUAAAUCAAUGAGACCAAGAACCCACCAAUUGUGAACACAGAACAAUGUUGAAAUUCUAAGUUUCCAUAAACUUUCUGUUUAUAUAAGCGAUUCCAAACUUCUACACUUUUGGAACAUAGACUAAUAUUCUUUGGAAUCUUCAGCUCUAGACGGGCCACUUCCUCAACAUUUGCAGUUGGAUAAACUCUUUUUUUUUUUUUUUUUUUUUUUUAAAUUU